GUGAGGAAUAUUGGUCAAUGGGCGGAAGCCUGAACCAGCCAAGUAGCGUGCAGGAUGACGGCCCUAUGGGUUGUAAACUGCUUUUAUACAGGAAUAAAGUUAGCCACGUGUGGUUAUUUGUAGGUACUGUAUGAAUAAGGACCGGCUAAUUCCGUGCCAGCAGCCGCGGUAAUACGGAAGGUCCAGGCGUUAUCCGGAUUUAUUGGGUUUAAAGGGAGCGUAGGCCGUCUGUUAAGCGUGUUGUGAAAUGUAGAUGCUCAACAUCUGAAUUGCAGCGCGAACUGGCAGACUUGAGUGUGCGCAACGUAGGCGGAAUUCGUGGUGUAGCGGUGAAAUGCUUAGAUAUCACGAAGAACUCCGAUUGCGAAGGCAGCUUACGGGAGCACAACUGACGCUGAAGCUCGAAAGUGCGGGUAUCGAACAGGAUUAGAUACCCUAGUAGUCC
rnacentral:rRNA from 1 species